AUCUUUCAGCCAUGACCGCCCUGAAAAGCUAAAGCCAAAAGAACACAGCAGUGAGGAGGCAAACGGUGAGACAGCGAUGAGUCUUAUAUUUAACCCCGCUACACCUAUCCAUCAACGGAGAGACUUGUUCCACUGUCUCCUACCCACACAGUGUCCAGUCCUUACUGAGCUGACGAUGAGUCCAUCAUACCCAUCCCUACAGGACCACUUCCUCCUGGGCUUCCAGAAAAGACAUAAACCCAUCAUAUCCUAUUACAGCGCUAUACAUUUCCCUUCCCCUGCUACUCUUUCAAUUAACGAAGUAUAUGAACGCGGAUGUGGAGUCGUAUUCACUUCUAUGCAAUAGGCUAAAGAAAAGCUCCACUUGAAGGCCAUUGGAUUUGACAGGCUCCCUGUCUCGAACCUGGACAUUAUUUUCUCUUCACUAUGUACCGAGGUAGGAAGUUUGAGAGGCCCAGGAUCUCAUUUCUAAUAGGAAGUGAACAGCUUAAGAGAUGACCAAGCUGAGGCUGCCAUCAGUGUCUCCCUAGCUGCCUACCUGCCAGAGACAGAGUGUAGCUGUGUAGCUCUCCGUUUACUCCUCGACUCACUAAUUAAUGGUUGCCCGUGGAGUAACUUGUACCUGUCAGUGUCUACCGCUCUCGUAUAUUCAAUAACUUGGGGGAAUUGAAAUUGAAUGCCAGCUAAGCUCGAACAAACUGCAAAUGGUGCAUGGGAUACACCCUGGUUCUCUCAGUGACCUGACAGCAGCGUUAUAUGUAAGGUUUUUAAUGAACAUGGACUCUUCUCAGCUACUUUUGACUGCCAAGGUGGAAGGUUUUAUGAAUUCAAGAUGGAGGGUGGGUGGGUGAUUGUAUAGGUUCUGUUACAGUAUACAGGUACUCGAGCAAGUCCUUGUGCCAAAUGUCAAUGUGCGUAUGAAUGCCAAAGCCGUCCAUAAAAGAACCCAGUGCCGAUUCGCAUUAAAGAGACAUGGUGAAAAUGUU